GGAGGGAGGGAAGCAGGGAAGGAGAGAAAAAGAUAAUGCCACUAUUAGUGUAAAUGAUUCUACGUAAGACCUUGGUUUGGAGCCAACAGGGUACUGGUGCGUUGCCUGCAAUCCUUACUCAGGCUGGCUGAAGCAAGAGGAUCAAGAGUACAACUUGGGAUAUAUAGGGUGUUUCAGGCAGGCUACACUAUACAGUGCUAUCUUGUCUCAAAAAUCUAAAU